rnacentral:lncRNA from 1 species
GAUCUAAAAAUAAAACAUGGGAUACUUAAAGGGUUUGAGAAGCCCGCAAAAACAAAAAUAGAAAAUGAAGCCUAAAUGAAUGCAGAAAUAGAAUCGUCAUUUCCCAGUCAAAUCAAACAGUCUGGCCUCCAUUAUUUUCCAACUUUUCAUUUCAUAAACGCUAGGCUUUUCAGAUGAUAGCAAUUUCAAAGAAAUCUUAUGCUUUAGCUAUCUUUUUCCGUUUCAUUUCCUCUUCAUCAACUUCCUUCAAUCAGAAUUUUGUGGCCAUCUCCCUCUUAGAUCCGGUGUUCUUCUCUCGUCUCUCCCACCAGGUAUCUUUCUUCCCCUUUUCUUAAUGCCUCUUUCGUUAGGUAUGUGCUUCAACGUUCUCUGUUCUUUGGAUGAAUCGAAAAACAUUUUUUUUGGAAUCGGGUUUUGUUGCUCUGAAUAUCAUCAAUAAUUGCUCCUAGAAUCGAUUUAUCUCUAGCUUUUGUUUUGCAUUUGUUGAUUAUUGUUUUCGAAUCCCCCAUCAUCGUGACUGAGUUUAAGCCCAUGCUUAUGCCUAAUUUGGUUGCCUCUAAACAUGCUAAUGCUUCUGCUACAAAUGGAGAGGAAACGUUGGAGUGAAGAGUAGACUUUGAGACUGUGAUUUCCCCAUUCUGACCUCGGGCUACCAUUCCUGACGCUGAUCUAGAGUUGUUGAUAUCAAAAGCUGCAUCAAACUGUAUAGACUCCCGUAGCUCCACCUCUCUUUGUUCGGAUCUAACGGCCGUAGAGGUAAGUUUUCUUUCUCGCACUCCUUCAAGCUCUAUUAGAUAACUCUGUAUUUUAAAAGCUAGAUCCCUUCCUGAUGUAUACUUCCUCUUGUGGAUCAUUUGAUUUCUCGAGCUCCAGAUAACCCAUAAGGCACAAAAAAAUACUCAGAUCUACUCCUUUGUACCUCUGCUGAAUACCCAGGUGAGCCAUGCCCAUACACUCUGAUCUGCAUGUUCUGUUACCCAUGACAUAUUGAGACUGAUCUAUGCAUCCGUGCUUAUAGGACAUUGCCUAAACACAUGGAAGCUAUCUUCUUCUGCAGAACAGUAUCGUGGACACCUUACAUUAGUGGUCACUCUCUUAUAUCUGAUAUUAACUAGUGAAGGGAUGUAGUUCCAGGAAAUUCGCCAUAUGAGAAUUAGGAUUUUUGUUAGUAAUUGUAAAUUCCAUAAUUUUCUGUAGAAAUCUUUAGUUUCGACCUGUAUUAAAUAGUUAUAAUGAUCCAAGCUAGCUUCUUAUAAUAGUUUGUAGGCACUUCUAACUGUAAAUUCUCCGGAGAGUUCCCCUUUCCACACUUUCAUGUCUUCACAAUCCGUUUUCGCAAGAGGAAUUUGCAGUAUUUUUUGAGAAAUUUCCUUUUGAAAGGUAGUCGAAAUUAACUUUCUUCCACUUCUUGUUUAUGUUAUCAAUAAGAUCAGAAACCACAGCUAACUAACCAUUGUCUCUUUUAUUUUGCCACAUCUCAAGUUCCAUCCCUAGUAUCCAACGAUCAUCCCAUAUAGAUAUUGCGUCUCCUCUCUCGACUCUCCAGAUGAGACCAUCAAGAAGGAGUCCUUUCACUGCCCAAAUACUUCUCUAGGUAAGAGAUGGUAAGUUUCCCAACUGUGAAUUUAGGAAACUGGAUCUUGGGUAAUAUUUAGCUUUAAGUACUCUGGCUAAAAGUGAAUUUGGGUUAUUAAACAAUCGCCAACCCUGCUUGGCUAACAAUGCGAUAUUAAACUUAUUAAAAUUACGAAAACCCAACCCGUCGUUUUCCUUUAAAUAGCAAAGGUUUUUCCAAGAGCACCAAUAGAUUCCCUUUUUUCCUUGAUUCUUUUGCCACCAAUAUCUCGCAACAAUACUCUCCAUUUCUUCACAUAGUGACUUCGGAAGUAGAAAACAAACCAUUGAGUAUGUCGGUAUGGCUUGUAGCACUGCCUUUAUGAAUAUCUCUUUUCCACCUUGCGAUAAAAAACGAGUACUCCAAUUUUCUAUCUGUUGUUCCAAUCUGUCUUUUAAGGCUUGAAAAGAUUGCUUCUUUUUUCGACCUACCAUGUUUGGCAAGCCCAAGUAUCUUUCUGGCUCAUUUGAACUUCGAACUCCCAAUAAAUUGACGAUUAGAUGUCUUUCCUCUUCAAUUAUAUUUUUGCUAAAGAAGACGGUCGAUUUGGAAAAAUUCACACAUUGACCCGAACAUCUUUUAUACCCGCUAAGAAUUUCCUUGAGUACAAAGGCUCCUUUCCUCGAUGCUUCUCCAAAUAAAAUGCAAUCAUCCGUAAAUAGUAAAUGUGUUACCUGUGGACCACUUCUGGUUGCCUUGACUCCCUUUAGAAGACCUUCUCUAGCGUUUAUUCUCAUUAGACUAGAUAGUCCUUCUCCACAUAUUAAGAAGAGAAACGGGCUCAAAGGAUCGCCUUGUCGAAGCCCUCUUGUUGGACGGAAAGUUCUUCCAACACUUACAUUGAGCACUACUUGAUAAGAAACUGUAGACAUGAAAUUCAUGAUAGAGGUGACCCAUUUUUGAUCAAAUCCCAUCCGCAGCAUUGUUUCCUUAAUAAAUCUCCAUUCAACUCUGUCAUAAGCUUUGCUUAUGUCAAGCUUAACCGCCAUGUAUCCCUUUUUCCCCAUUCUUUUUUGUUUAAGUGUGUGCAAUAACUCAUAAGCGAGCAAAAUAUUAUCUGAGAUUAAUUUACCUGGUACGAAGGCACUUUGCGCACUGUCAAUGCAUUUGUCUAUGACACCUCUAAAUCUGUUUGCUAUUGCUUUAGUCAUGAUUUUAUAAAUAACAUUGCAUAAGCUAAUAGGCCUAAAAUGGGUCAUAUUAGAGGGGUUUUUGAUUUUUGGGAUAAGAACAAUAUAAGUUGAGUUAAUUUGACUGACCUCCAUUUCUCCAUUGAUGAGGUGUAGGCAAAAAGCAGCCACCUCAUCUCCUAUAAAGUGCUAACAUUUCUGGUAAAAAAGAGCAGGGAAUCCAUCUUUGCGAGGUGCCUUCGUGGGAUGCAUUUCAAAUAAGGCCUCUCUCACUUCUUCUUUUGUAUAAUUCGCUAUAAGUUUCCUGUUAUCGUCCUCUGAGAUACACCGAUCAAUUCCCGAGAGUAGACGUUCAUAAUUCAUUUGAUUUUCUAAAGAGAACAGAUUUUGAAAAUAGAAUUGUACAAUACCUUUCAUCUCCUGAAUAUCAUUCGUUUCCUGCCCGCUGCUGUUUUGUAGCUUGCUUAUCAAAUUCUUCUUUCUUCUUUGUGUUACUUGACUGUGAAAAAAGGCUGUAUUCCUGUUUCCAAGUUUUAGCCAAUUUAGUCUAGCUCGGUGUUCCCAAUAAGUUUAAUCUUUUUCAAUUUCGAAGUUAAGCUGGAUCUUUGUGUCAAUCAUCUCAGCUAGAUUAGAAUUAUCCCUUUCAGCUUCAAUCAAUGUUGAUAGUUUGGCUGUGAGAAAUUCUUUUCUCCCCUGUUUAUUUCUUUGCACCUGUUUCGCCCAGUUUACAAACCCUUUCUUAAAAGUUUCCAUUUUCUUCAGAAAUUCUCCAGACACCAUCCCCCAUAAAUGUUUAGCUUCAUCGAAAAAUGAGUCUUCCACGAUCCAUGAGGCUUCAAAUUUGAAUUGAUUUGCUUUUUCCCAUUGGUCUUCCUUAUUUGUGUUGACGAAAAUAGGACAAUAAUCAAAAAAAGAGUGUACAAGUGUUCAACUCAUACCGCAGGAAACAUGGAAAUCCAAUUCUUAUUAGCGACACCCCUAUCCAGACGCUCUUGAAUGUUCGUUUCUGGUAAGUUUCCUCUCUCCUAAGUGAACCAUCUACCAGAGUAUCCCACAUUGGAUAGUUGGCAAAAAUCUAAAGCUUCUCGGAACAACUCCAUUCUUCUUUCAUCUCUUGGCAAGCCUCUCUUUUUUUUUUCGAAUUCAUACAUUAUUUCAUUAAAAUCUCCACAGACAAGCCAAGGGGUGUAUUCCUUUUUAUGGAGAUUUUUCAAAACAGUCCAUAAAGCUUCUCUAUCUUGCGCAUAUGGAGUUCUAUAAAAGCCAGUAAAGCGCCAUUUGACAUCUCUUUCAUCAUCAUCCACCACCAUGUCAAUGUGUCUUUUAGAGAAAUUCUAAAGCGUAACAUUGAUAUUAUUUUGCCAUGCUAGACACAAACCUUCUCUAGAGCCCUUCGAAUCAACAUCAAUUCCAUUCCCAAAUCCACAUCUUCGUCUAAUUCUUUCCAUUCGGUUUCUGCAAAGCUUAGUAUCCAUAAAGAAGACAAUUUGGGGAUUAUAAGUCCUCAGCGUAUGCUGAAGCCUUCGAACUAUCCGUAGACUCCCCAAUCCACGGACAUUCUAACUCAGUAUUUUUAUUGCUUCCGGUCGGCUUGCCAUUUGGUAGCCGCCGAUGAUAAAUGAUUAGGAUCCACCAUUCUCCAAUUUGCCAAUAUGUUUCUCAUUUCUUCUCUCCCUGUUAUAUCUUCAUUUUCCCCUCUAGGCCUUUUCGUCCCCUUUUUCCCUACUAGAGCUACAUCUUCUAGAUCCCUGAUCCAUUACAUUAGGGGUUAAAUUCUCCUUUCCUCGUACCGCGUAUAAUGAACCUCCCUCCAAAUUAAAGCCAAGAACUGGAUCAACAGAUUUCCCAUAUUUUAUUUUUCACCCCGGGUGCUUCUGGCCCAUUUUGAGACCUCCAAAUUCUGCAUCAGUUCCUCUGUUAUCGCCAUCUCCUUCCUCCCUUAGCUAGAUAUUGUUUAUUGAUAAUGACUUCCGUGAUUGUGCUCGGAUAGAUAAGUCCUAGCCCAUUUCUGCAAUUUCCAUUCCAAGGUUCAUUUUUGCCUCGCAAAAAAAGUCAUUAUGCUCCAGUCUUCCACAAUAGAAACAGAACAAAGAUAAACGUUCAUAUUUAAAGGUGACAUAUGAACAUUUUCCACCAAAUGAUAUUUUCUUCCUCCUUUUCAAAGGACGCCUUAUGUCGAUUUGAACUCUAAUUCUCAUAAAGUUCUUGUUUUCUUUUCCCAAAUAUGAUACAUCAUGUUCUAUGAAAUUCCCCAAGAAAUUACCUAACUGGGCAGCCAGGAUUUCAGAAAAAAGGCCAAUAGGGACAUCAUGAACCUAAACCCAAAAAGGUAUCAGAACUAGAGGGAGUUGUAGUGGAUCCUCCCCUAAUUCCAAUUUGUAAAGCACCAGCAGAUGGUUAUUAAUGGUCCAAGGCGAACAUUUCAAAACCCUGUUCAUAUCCAUGACAUGAAAGAACUGAAACAAAUACCUUUUUUCUCCCAGAUCACAGAUUCGUACUCCCUUAACCGGAUGCUACAGAUUCGCCAUUGUACUUUUCAUUGCUGGGAAGUGGAUCGUGCUUGCUGUGAGAAAACAUCCUACUAGUUGAGUGGUCUCACCCCUAUUUUCCGUGCUUGGAUCUGUUGGGAUGUGAAUAAUUUCCUCAUCUUCAUCAUUAAUCGACAAUUGGGCUAACUCAUUCUCCAUACUUUGCAGGUAAAAGUUUUUUCAGCUUUUGUGGUUUCACAAUUCCUGUUGCAAGAGAAGGACUUACACAGGCCACAGAUAACAAAGGGGAAAGUAUUAAGGAAAAAACAAAUAAUGAAAAAACUUAAAAACUCUUGCUAGUGGCAGCAGACAAAGGUGUGCUAGGGUAGCAGACUUUUUUUACUUGUGAAUUUGAUAAUGUUUUAUAUUUCAUAUAAUGUUUUUAUAAUUUUUUUAACUUAUAUAACUAAUAUAUAAUAUGUUUUGAAAAUUUUAAAUUUAAUAAUUUUUAUAAUUUUUUAUUUAUUGAAUUUAUAUUUUUUAAAAUGGAUGCCACAUUAUUAAUCGUCAUGUAUAAAGGAAUACCACAUAAUGCAUUCUCAUUGGUUGGGUGUGUCACCUAUCAUUUUUAACACCAUUAACCUCUUUGAACUAAGAUUGUGUUUAGCAAUGCUUAAAAAAAACACUUUUGGCUUAAAAAGUACUUUUGGAAGAAAAUUUAUGUUAAACAAGUAACUUUUGGCCCAAAGGAGUGGCUUUUCAAAAACAUUUUUACUCAAAAGCUAAAUUUUUUAGCUUUUCUUGAGCCAAAAGCACUUCUUGAAACAUUAUUACUUUUUCAUCUCUCUAUUUUUCUUCCCUUAUUUUUCAUUCACUUUAAAUUACAAAUGCUAAUGUAAAUGUUUUAAUGUUUAUAUUUGGUAUAUAAAUAUUAUCCAUUUUUGAAA